rnacentral:lncRNA from 1 species
CUAAGACAGAAAUUGGUACCAGAAGUGGGGUGCUGCUGUAACAAAUACCUGAAAAUGUGGAAGCAGCUUUAGAACAGGGAAAUGGGCAGAGGCUGGAAGAGUUUGGAGGAGCAGGCUAGAAAAAGUCUGCAUUGCCAUGAAUGGAAAUAAAGGAUAAUUCUGGUGAGGGUGUAGAAGAGGAGAGCUGUAGAGAAAGCCUGUAUCUUUUUAGAGAUUGCUUAAGUGGUUGUGAUCAGAAUGUUGGUAGAGGGGGUAUAGCUCAGGGGUAGAGAUUUGACUGCAGAAUGUUGGUAGACAUAUGAAUAGUAAAGGUCAUUUGAUGAGGUCUCAGAUGGAAAUGAGGAAUAUGUUAUUGGAAACUGGAGGAAAGGCCAUCCUUAUUAUAAAGUGACAAAGAAUUUGGCUGAAUUGUUUUUGUGUCAUAGUGUUUUGUGGAAGGCAGAAUAUUUAGUGGAAGAAACCUCUAAGCCAAAUGUUGAGGAUGUGUUGUGGCUUCUCUUGACUCUUAUAAUAAAAUAUGAAAAGAGAGAAAUAAAUUAAAAAUGGAAUUUAUAAUCAAAAGGGAAGCAGAACCUAAAAAGUUGGAAAAUUCUUAGCCUGUAAAAAAUGAGAAAACAUGUUCAGGAGAGAACACCAUGGAUGUGGCUCUACUAGGGCCACCCCUCCAAAAGAAAAAGUGGUAAAGCUUGGUGGUAUCCUCAUGAUGCUAACUCUGCAGGCACCCAGAGUGCAUGAGCUGUGGGGGAAUGGCUGUCUCCACCUAGAUUUCAAAGGAUGCCCUGGAGAGUGUUGGAGUCUGGGCAGAGAACUGCUGCAGGGGCAGGACCACCACAGAGAGUCCCCAGUAGGUAAUGCCUGGCAGAACGGUGGGGUUGGGACCACCACAGGCAGCCUAUACUAGGGCAAUGCCUAGUGAAGUUGUGGGAUUGGGGCUGCCCCUGAGAUCCCAGAAUUAUAGAGCCAUCAGUGUGCAACCCCAGCCUAAGAGGGCUGCAGGCACAAGACUCCAACCGUGAGAGCUGCCCCGUGGGCUGUGCCCAGCAAAGCCAUGGGGCCAGGCUGUCCAGAACCUUGGGGGUCUAACGUCUGCCCCAGAGUGACCAGAAGGUGGGAGAUGGAGUCAGCCUUAAGGUUUAAUGUUGUUUGCCCUGUUGAACUUUGGACUUGGUCAGGUCCUGUCACUUCUUUCUUCUUUCCUAUUACUCCUUUUUGGAGGGGGGAUGUCUAUCCUAUGUCUGUCCCAAAAUUAUAUUUUGGAAGCACAUAACUUCCUUGAUUUCAUAGGUUCACAUGAAUCAUACCUUGAAUAUCACCCACAUCUGAUUUAGAUGCUAUUGGUAUGAGACUUGGGACUUAGACUUUAAAGUGGAAGCUGGAACCAGUUAAGAGUUUUUUGGGACUAUUGGGAUGGAAUGAAUGUAUUCUGUAUGUGAGAAAGACAUGAAUUCGGGGUCGGGGGUGGCGGGAGAAUGCUGUGGUUUAAGUGUUGUGUCCCUCCAAAAUUCUUGUUGAAAUGUGAUGCCCAGUGCAAUAAUAGUAUUAGGAGGUGGGGCAUGGAAGCGAAACUACCCUGUGGAGGAGAGAAUAGUUUUGAACUGCAUGAGCCAGAAAGCCAGAAAGCCAGAAAGCCAUUGUAUGGGAAACACCUUUAAUCAUCAGAGGUGCCCAGAGUGGCCAAUUGGAAUCUCGUCAACCAAAACUGGAAAUUUUCUACCGUCAAGGCUAUUUCUGAUAAUGCAGUGAUACAGUUGUAAACACACCAUACCUUUCUUCCUUUAUGGUAGGAAUUCUGUAUAGUAGGCUUUAUCAGAAUUCCUGUGUUUGUAGGGUACAAAUCUGUAAACUGUACUGCAAAGAGCCAUGCAUCUCUCUGUGAAGCUGUGUGUUUUUUGCAUUCCAUCUCUCCAUUAUAAAAGUCAAGUUCCAGUCAACUCUGCUGAAGGAAGGACUAAAUUAUUUUUGUAUUCACUCUGGAAAAUAUUACCAAGUUGUUGAAUAAAGAGAGGGUCAAAAAGUUUGUGGCCAAAAACACACCUAUAUAUCUAUAUCAUCUAUAUGUAUUAUCUGUCCAUAUCAUCUGUAUAUUUGAUAUGGAAGUCUUUCAGGAAGUUAAUUAAAACAUUUUGCUACUUUUUUUUUAACCUGGAUUUUGUGUUGUCAGUUUAAAAAAAGUUGUAAUUUGUUAUAUUUUAUUUUUUGUUUCUAAGUAAAUAUUCAGUUUAAUACCUGGCUUUGUGUUCAUAAUUUUCUAAUUCUCUUUCUUAAUAUGGACCCUUCAGUUUGCAUAAGCCUCAGGCCCCACUAAAUCGAGAUGCAGUCCAUGUAGGCCUAAGUCAGUUGCUACCCUGGUGACAUGGAAGCUCGUGCAAUGGAAGGAGGGAAGCAGGAGGGAGAAAGAGGAUACAAGGAUGGAAGAAAAGAGCUAAAGAUUAACUUUGCUUUUGUCACAAUUAUCCUGAGGGCUGACUUUGGGGGUUUGGACAUCAGGGCAUUGUCUGUAAUUGCCCGCUACUGUAUAUGUGGUGCACUGUAUGUGGCAAUGUGGGAGACUUAAGAAGAAACUGAAAAUAGGGCAUUAGUUCUCAGCCUCCUCAUUGGAAAGACAAGCUUGCCAAGCACUGCUGAAAAACCUACACAGAUGAAAUGAGAAACGAAAACUGACUCAGCACAAAAACACAUGUGAUUAUUAUGGCAUGAAAUGCAUGGGAAGGGUCAAUGUGGUGUGUAGUCUCAAAUUGGCCUCUACCAGCCACCCCAGGUCCUGUCUGUGACAAGCUUGCCACCCUGAACUCCUGGAACGGGUCUUCUGGCUUGCGUGGAUUCUUGUUUGCUGAAACUCAUGUGUGAUGGAUGAAUGCUGCUGGAGACGGAUUGUGGCAAUGAACACAAGCAGCUGUUCCCAGUGAACCUAAGCAGGCGAACAGCUAGCCACGCAGGCAGAAGAAAUUUUAUAGGCAAAUGCGGUAAUGGCAGUAGACAAAUUAGGUGAGCAGCAAUCUGAGCAUCUGUGCUCAGAGCCAAGGGGAAGAGGCGGGUGAAGAGCUCUCAAAUUGAGGUCAUUCAUCUCCAACCAGCUUGUGGGUUCCCCUUCCGUUUAAGCUUAUGAGCAGAAGAGACUAUUUGACCUAUGGUGUGACUCCUUUCUAGCAAUACUACUGAAGAAUGAGAUAACCUUAUUUUCUGUGUCAGGUCAGGCUUUGAGUGUAAGUAGUUGUGUCAGGGUUUAGGUAUCUUUUCAUAUCAGAAAUGCGUAAUAAGUCAUUUUAUAACAGGAUUCUACUCUUUGUUCUUCAUGGUCAGGUUAUUUUGCAUGGUAAGACUGUAAGUUGCUUACAGUAGUAAUUUUUAAGGUCUAUGUUUCUUGAAUUUAUCUACCAUUGGCCUUUACAGAAUGAUGAUCGUACUCUUCUAGGUCAGUGUAAAUAAUUCAUGAUCUCAGCGGCAAAAUUCCUUUUUGGGGAGGAAGUUGUCUUUGCUUGUUGGGGGCUCGGGGAACUCUGGUUAGGUCAGGAGAGUUAGGAGAUAAGACCUGGGGUCAAAGGCAGAGUGAGCAUGGAGAAUGAUUUAUAGCAGUGCCACCAUCUUAGGGCCAGCCGGUGGGUGGCUGAGAGGCAGAGAGGUGGAGGCGUGCGGGAGGAAGUGCAGUGGGAAGCCUGUAGGCGGAGGCUGGGAUGCGUGCGGGGCAGGAGUCAUGGGAAGAUCCCCCGGGUCAGAGGUGAGCAGAGGACGGCCUGACAGCAGGCAUGCCUGAGGCUCACCUGGAAAUUGCCUUCCUCCUUCCGACCUCUGAGGAGGUCUGCUGUCUUCACAAGCCACUUUAUCACUUCGUGGAAUUUGAGCAAUGGGUUGCAUUAUAUACCUGGUUCCCUCAGAGGAAGGUCACAGCUGGAGGUGAUCUUGCACCCUUAGCCGUCUGGGAUCUGCUGAAGUCUUGGGGAGGGUGGGGACUGUGUGUUUGGGUCAGAUUAAUCUCAAGAAGCCAGCACAUUACAACCAAUUUCUGGCUUUAUCAUUGCGUGGGGCACGUCUGUACAUUAGGCAAGCUGAUUCCACAACCACCCACGAAGCCAGUCUCUUUUUAUAGCUGUGCUCAUGCAUGUGAAGCUUUUUUGGAAGACGGGAUAUAAGAUUCACGUUAUUUAUGCCCUUAAGCUCUUAAGGAAAUACUUACGAUUAUGUCUAAGUCAAUGCUGAGCAUAUAGGGCAAUUACACUUACAUAUUAACCGUAUGAUCUUUUCAUGACUAAAUUCUAUGUAAUCUAUAUUUUGUGAUAUUUGUAAUAGUACAGUGGGGUAGAAUAUAUGAGUUUUUUUGUUAGCUGGUAAAAUUAAUCUCAGAAUCUUUGGGUAUUGGGUCCCCUUUUCUCAGGCUUGCUUAGACCUAGAACCUUAAAAAUGAGAAUCCCUCCCAGCCACUCCAUUUAUCUUUAAAAUAUGUUCCACCUGCUUAAAGAGAAAAUUUAGAGACAGUGAUAAAAACUCAGAGUAUUUAACUCCUUUCUGAAUGUGUUGAGCAUCUGCAUCAUGAUUACAUUUGUUCAUUAACUUCAUAAUGACUUUGGAUCCUAAUUUUAUCUAUGUUAGAAUUCUGCAUUCUCCAUUGGAAAGCUAAGCAUGCGUAGACGGGCAUCGCUAAGGAAAAAAGUGGACACCCAUUGCCUCUUCAUUGAGGAUGUUAAUCAUGCUCUGUGUCUAUGACUUUCCAUUGCCCUUUCAUUGGCUUAUGUCUAAUAGCCGCAGAAUAUGCUUUAAGGGUGUUAAUGAAUAACAGAAAUAGAUUUCCACUUCUCAAAAAAGAGCUUUGGUGUUUCUGGGACUAAUUAAGGCAUCUGAAGAAGUAACUGGGUCACUGCCUAGCAGUCUCUGUAGUGAUGAUUGGUUUAAGAGGGGAGAGGCUGAUUAAGCUUCACCUUGGGACUUUUAAUUAUGUCUUGGUAACUGUAUGGAAAUAUACACCCAGUGAACUAAUAACUUAAAUCUUAUUAUAAAGAUUUAAAAAUGGCCAAUAAUGUAUUUUUACCUUUUUGAUCUCCUUUUAGUAUUGGGAAAUAAUGACAUUAGAGGAGAGUGGAAUACCGAUCACUCGAUAGUUGUUCAUUAAAUAUGUUAUGUAAGUACAACUCCAUUACAAGGGAAUCCCCUGGAUAUGAAAAUGUAUUCUUGCAGUGGAGUUUCUGAAAACUAGACUUUUAAAGUCAGGUUUUUAGGCCACUGGCACCAAAGUGAAAUAAAACAGGGCCUAGCACAUCACUAGUAAAUUAGGAAGUGCAAAGAAAUCAGGUUAAAAUUUGCAUCCAUUUUGGUCAAAGCAAAAUUAGGUACAAAUGACCUUUACAAGAAAGUGAUACAAAAAUUCUGAAAAGAGAGCUCAUGGGCUUUCCUUCCUUCUCAUUCUUAUGUCUAUCUGUUUCUGAAUUUCUUAAAUGUGAUUUGUGGGAUUUUGUGAGUGAUCUGGGGCGAUGGUGGUUUUUUUGUUGGGGUUUGAGGCCUUGGUGGGAUUAGGAUGCUUGUGGAGGAGAUGGAAGAAUCAGUCAAUUGAGGCAGAAGAGUGAGAUUUUGAAGAACAAGACUUGGCAUUUGCAGUGACAUGAAUAAUAUUAUUUUAAGACAAUCUAAUCCUUGACUAUUUAAAAUAUACUUGUUCAAUGGAAACUGUAAGCCAAAUGGGCAAAAGGAACCUUGAUUCAUUCCCUGUGAGUUUGUGAAGCUACUUUGCAGCUCUUUGGGUGUUUGUCUUCAUCUCUUGUCUAGUACCAGUUUUAUUUAUCUGAAGAUUACUGUUUAAAAGUCCGUUCAUUCUGCUUCGUGUACUGGAGGAUUUGCUUCAUGCUUGUUAGAGAUGACACUCAAAGUUCUUUACAGAAUUUAAUCCUGACCCUGUUUUUAAGGGGUAGACACAUUUAUCUCUUUCGCAGAUGGAGAUUUUUGCCUAAAGUCUGUGCUGAGGGACAGAGAAAAAGAAAUAGUUCUCUUCCCGUUUUUAGGCUACAUGGGUUUUCAAGAUAUAUUUGUAUCCCCUUUCUCAACAUGUAAACCUCAGUCAUAAGAAAAUGAAGGGCUCCCCCUCACACCUCUGUUCUGUCUUCACGCCUCCCUCGUUUCUCCAUGACUCCUCUUUCCUCCUGACUCCUUCCUCAUCCUUGUAUACAAUCUCCCUCUCCCCUUCCUCCUCCUCUUCCCCCUCCUCCUCCUCUUUCUCCUCUUCCUCCUCCUCCUCUUCCUCCUCCCCCUCCCCUCCCCUCCUCCCCUCCUCUUCCUCCUUCUCCUUCUGUUCCUCCUCCUCCUUCCACUUUUCCUUCCUUUCUUCCCCCUAAUCCCUACCCUUGGCUCCUUGGGUCUGGGUCUGUCUGACAAGCAGGCAUUUAGUCCAAAGGGAACGAUUCAGCCCAUAUCUUCUUUCUCAACCCAGUACUAAGCAGGGCAGCCAUCUUAGUCCACCUGAACUGUUUUCUUUUUUGCCGUAGACCUCAAUGGACUUCAUUUGUUCCCUUUCAGCUCUCUGGUCUUGAAGGAGACAAAGUUUUUAAAUAGUGCAGACUAACAUUUAAGGUUUGCUUUGCUCUUAGCUUAGGCAUUUUCCCUUUCCCUCUUUUCACAAUGUGGUUUUCUUUUACCUAGUUAAAAAGAAAAAUUAGAGCUUUCAUGCCAGUCAGGUUGGGGCAUGCUCUAGAGAGACAAAGUCAAGACUUGCAACUGGCAAGAAGUCAAUCCAGCCCCCGACACCUACUGUGCUCUGAGAGGGGAAGCAGCCCGCAGGAGGGAUUUUAGAAAAAAACUCAAACUGCCUCUUAUUUAAAAGGUGUUAUUUGCAUGUUUCUGGCUCUGU